rnacentral:rRNA from 1 species
GACGCAGCAUGCCGCGUGAUGAGAGGCCUUCGGGUUGUAAAGUUCUUUCGGUAGCGAGGAAGGCAUUUAGUUUAAUAGACUAGGUGAUUGACGUUAACUACAGAAGAAGCACCGGCUAACUCCGUGCCAGCAGCCGCGGUAAUACGGAGGGUGCGAGCGUUAAUCGGAAUAACUGGGCGUAAAGGGCACGCAGGCGGUGACUUAAGUGAGGUGUGAAAGCCCCGGGCUUAACCUGGGAAUUGCAUUUCAUACUGGGUCGCUAGAGUACUUUAGGGAGGGGUAGAAUUCCACGUGUAGCGGUGAAAUGCGUAGAGAUGUGGAGGAAUACCGAAGGCGAAGGCAGCCCCUUGGGAAUGUACUGACGCUCAUGUGCGAAAGCGUGGGGAGCAAACA